AUGGCGUCCUCCGGCCACAUGGUCGUCGGCGUUGGUGGACCUGAUGAGCAGGAGCCGGUGCCGGUGCCGUACGUGCUCUCCUUCACGGACCUAUGCUACGGCGUCAACAAGCGCCGGGGCGGGAUGGUGGGCUGCCUGCCGUCACGCGGUAGGAACCAAAUCGCCAACACCAACACCAAGGCGCUGCUCGACGGCAUCUCCGGCGAGGCGCGCGAGGGCGAGCUGUUCGCGGUGAUGGGCGCCAGCGGGGCCGGCAAGUCCACGCUCCUCGACGCCCUCGCCGGCCGGAUCACCCGGGCCAGCCUCCGCGGCGGCGUCACGCUCAACGGCGAGCCGCUCACCAACGGCCGCCUCCGCGCCAUCUCCGCCUACGUGAUGCAAGACGACCUGCUCUACCCGAUGCUGACCGUGCGCGAGACGCUGCUGUUCGCCGCCGAGUUCCGCCUCCCGCGCGCGCUCUCCGCGGCCACGAAGCGCGACCGCGUCGACGCGCUCAUCCGCCAGCUCGGCCUCUCCGGCGCCGCCGACACCGUCGUCGUCGACGAGACGCACCGCGGCGUGUCGGGCGGCGAGCGGCGCCGCGUCUCCAUCGGCGCCGACAUCAUCCACGACCCCAUCCUUCUCUUCCUCGACGAGCCCACGUCCGGCCUCGACUCCACCAGCGCCUUCAUGGUGGUCCAGGUGCUCCGAGACAUCGCUCGGAGCGGCAGCGUCGUCGUCAUGACCAUCCACCAGCCCAGCGCGCGCAUCCUCGGCAUCCUCGGCCGCCUCCUGCUCCUCUCCCGCGGCCGCGCCGUCUACGCUGGCACUCCAGCCGGCCUCAAGCCCUUCUUCUCCGAGCUCAGCACGCCCGUCCCUGACAACGAGAACCCGGCCGAGUUCGCGCUCGACACCAUCCGAGACCUCGAGCGCCAGCCCGAUGGCGCCGCGAAGCUCGCCGACUUCAAUGCCAGGUGGCACGGCGACACCAUCGGCAAGGUCAGCAGCACUGUGAUGUCGCUGGAGUUGGCCGUGGCCGAGAGCGUCUCCCGGGGUAAGCUGAGCCGGCUGAUCGAGAGCACCGCCGGCACAGUGGGGAUGCCGACGUACGCGAACCCGCUGGCGUUGGAGGUGUGGGUGCUGAGCAAGAGAUCGUUCAUCAACUUUCGGCGCAUGCCGGAGCUCUUCGCGCUGCGCCUGGGCACGCUCAUGGUGACGGGCCUCGUCCUGGCGACCAUCUUCUUCCGCCUGGACGACACGCCCAGGGGCGUCAAGGAGCGGCUCGGCUUCUUCGCCAUGGGCAUGACCACCAUGUUCUACGUCAGCGCCGGCACGCUGCCGGUGUUCAUCCAGGAGCGCCACGUGUACCUCCGCGAGACGGAGCACAACGCGUACCGCCGGAUCUCGUACGUCCUCGCCAGCUCCGCGGUGUUCUUCCCGCCGCUGGUCAUCCUGUGCCUGGCAUUCGCGGCCACCACCUUCUUCGCCGUCGGCCUGGCCGGCGGCGGCGCGUCCUUCGGCUUCUUCGUGCUCACCGUCCUGGCCUCCCUCUGGGCGGGCAGCGGCUUCGUGACGUUCCUGUCGGCGGUGGUGCCGCACGUGAUGCUGGGCUACACGGUGGUGGUGGCCGUCCUCGCCUACUUCCUCCUCCUCUCCGGCUUCUUCAUCAGCCGGGACAGGAUCCCGGGCUACUGGAUGUGGCUCCACUACAUGUCGCUCGUCAAGUACCCGUACCAGGCGCUGGUGCAGAACGAGUUCGGCGACGCCACCAGGUGCUUCGCGCGGGGGAUCCAGGUGUUCGACGGGACGCCCGUCGGCGGCUUGUCGGAGGCCGUCAAGGUGAAGGUGCUCGGCGCCAUCAGCGCCGCCCUCGGCACCAAUGUCACGGCCAGCACGUGCCUCCUCACCGGCGCCGACGUGCUCAGGCAGCAGGCCGUCACGGACCUAGGGAAGUGGAGUUGCCUCCUGGUCACGGCGGCAUUCGGCUUCUUCUUCCGUGCUCUCUUCUACGUCGUCUUGCUCGUUGGGAGCAAGAACAAACGGAGAUGA
rnacentral:rRNA from 1 species